UCUAAAACAAUUAUUUAUCAGUAAAAACAUUAGUGACACGACAUAUAUCUGUAUGAUGGCAAACCGUCGUCGAUAUGGACGAAUAUAAAUGCACCUAGUUUUAACAUUUUUAACGCGACCAAACGAAACCGACAAACCCUGACCGCGCUAAAUCCCUUGUCUGACUUAUCUGUUGAAUAAUAUACAAUUUUCUAAUGAUUUGGAAUGGGAUAUUUGUGAUGCGAUUAAAUGCUAAUUUUUGGAUAUGAAGAAUUUCC